GGCCUCCUGGUGCUUACCACAGGCUGUGUUCUCACAUUGACAGUAUAGAAAGAGGAGGCAAAGUGAACCUACCCCAUAAACACCUCAACCCAGGCCCUGGGCCUCAUCUGUAUUGUGAGUGGGGAGACAUAG
rnacentral:snoRNA from 1 species